rnacentral:sRNA from 1 species
UUUGUUCCUCGUUUUGCAACGACAUCCUUUUUCUGAAAUGGCUUAAAAAAAGCGUGGGCGAAAAAGAUAUAGUGGAAAGCGGGAAAAAGC